CCCCGAUCGUAUCUGUUUCCAUUCACAUACCACUGUUAUUGACACAUCCAUAUAUAGUAAUAUCCAUAAUUAUCUUUCUGGUUGAAGAAGUGGGACUUUUGACCUGUUUAAUGGGUAUCGUAUAUUUCCUGUAAACACAGCUCGCUAAUAGUAAGUCAACAUAAUUGUAUUACCUCAACAGCCGUACAUCGCAUGUUUGUAUGUAAAAAUUGC
rnacentral:lncRNA from 1 species